GUAAAAGGAUCCAGUUCCUGCUCUUUUCCUACAUAUGUAGAUGCAACAUUUGGGAAGUAGGACAAGUACAAUAGCCAUUAAUCCUCCAACUCGUCUGCCAUACCGCUGGUGGAUUACAACAGUUUGCAGCUGGCCACAGUUAUGUCUAAGCUUAAUGCAGUCUACCUUUGGAAAAACAUGCCUUGUAUACCUCAGGAUUCUGGAAAGGAGUGGAAAUGGAGGGAAUACACACAGGAACUGGUAAUUCUCUGAGACGAAGCACUUGCCAAGGAUAUUGGGCUCUACAGUCCUGGAACAAAAACAUGGGAGCUUCCUCUUAGAAUAUUCCACCAACAGGUCUAACCUUGGAACACUCCUCAACUGAAAAAAGAACUCUGUGCUGUGAGGAUGCAGCAAGGAGUUGGCUGUUAGUAUGUGCUCUCACUAAAUGUUGAGGCAAGGUCGUCACUUCUGAAAACAGUACCUCAUCUAAUUGUAGAAAAUGCAGCAGCACAUGGCCCUGAAUUGGUGAUAAAUCAAAUUGGUUCCACACACAAAAAAGCCCUUGGUUUUAAAACAAAAGAAAUCUGUAAAGCAGUCUUUAGCAUUAGCCUCUUUCUAGGUCACUGGGACUCCAUCUGACAAACUGUAAUACCCAAUAACCUAUUAAACGGACUUGCCAGUCUAGUAACAUCUGCGAACCACCUCAAGCCAGCGUUUCAAGACACGUCAAAAGGAUAUGCCCCCUGCAAUUUUCAUUAUUGAAAAGGUGAACUUAUCCAACAAUGAAUUCAAAAGAAGAAUGAUGGUGCUCCUUCUAAUUUUAAUGAUCAGAAUCAAUAUUCGAAACUGUUAGGAGAAAUGCUAAAAUUUAGUUUAAAAGUAAUGACCGAUUUGGUGAAUCAGUCACUUUGAAAUUCCUGUUACAGCAGAAACAGAGUUAAG